UUCCCCCCACCACAUUGUUGAUUUACCUCAGACAGAUCUUUUUGUUGUAAAUACUGCACACUUUCUUUUGCAUUUGAUAUAUAUGUCCUUGAGGGGUGUGAGGUUUUGUUACGUUGCCACUUCUGUUUCACCCAUUUCCUAUCUUGUAGACAGCCAGCGGUCUGACAACUGGACAUCUGUAGCUGGUCAUCUACUGAAAAGCCUUCUGAAAUCAGCACACAGUUUUAAAAGGAAAGACAUCUACUUGAUAAGUGCAAAGGCUUUUCAUCAAUGGACCAGUGCUAACCCACUCCAAGAAUCAGAAAUACUGGACAGAUGCCGAAUCACAUUGCCCCGAGUUCUACAUAUUCCCUACAAUGACAAGUCUGCGUAUUUUUAUUUUUCUUAAGACUUCUAAUAUGUGUUUUUGUGUAACAGGAACAUGUUUAGAAAAAUAUAGAAAGAAGGUACUUCAGGACAGAACAGG